rnacentral:rRNA from 1 species
AACGUAGGUGGCAAGCGUUGUCCGGAUUUACUGGGUGUAAAGGGAGCGCAGGCGGAUUUACAAGUCAAAUGUGAAAUGCAGAGGCUCAACCUCUGAACUGCGUUUGAUACUGUAGGUCUUGAGUGGAGUAGGGGCAGGCGGAAUUCCCGGUGUAGCGGUGGAAUGCGUAGAUAUCGGGAGGAAUACCAGUAGCGAAGGCGGCCUGCUGGGCUCUAACUGACGCUGAGGCUCGAAAGCGUGGGGAG